rnacentral:rRNA from 1 species
GAAUAUUGGACAAUGGGGGCAACCCUGAUCCAGCAAUGCCGCGUGUGCGAAGAAGGCCUUCGGGUUGUAAAGCACUUUUGUCAGGGAAGAAAUCCUUUGGGCUAAUACCCUAGGGGGAUGACGGUACCUGGAGCAUAAGCACCGGCUAACUACGUGCCAGCAGCCGCGGUAAUCCGUAGGGUGCAAGCGUUAAGCGGAAUUACUGGGCGUAAAGCGUGCGCAGGCGGUUGUGUAAGACAGGUGUGAAAUCCCCGGGCUUAACCUGGGAAUUGCAUUUGUGACUGCACGACUAGAGUGUGUCAGAGGGGGGUGGAAUUCCGCGUGUAGCAGUGAAAUGCGUAGAUAUGUGGAGGAACACCAAUGGCGAAGGCAGCCCCCUGGGAUAACACUGACGCUCAUGCACGAAAGCGUGGGGAGCAAACAGG